UUUUUUUUUUUUGGAGAUGGAGUCUCGCUCUGUUGCCCAGGCUGGAGUGCAGUGGCAUGAUCUUGGCUCACUCUCUGCCUCCUGGGUUCAAGCAAUUCUCCUGCCUCAGCCUCCCAAGUAGCUGGGAUUACAGGCGCCCGCCACCACGCCCAGCUAAUUUUUGUAUUUUUUGUAGAGACGGGGUUUCACCAUGUUGGCCAGGCUGGUCUCAAACUCCUGACCUCGUGAUCCACCCGCCUCGGCCUCCCAAAGUGCUGGAAUUACAGGCGUGAGCCACCGCGUCCAGCCUCUGUUGCUUCCUUUAAAUGCCGGCAGUCCACAGCUUGGGGAGUCUCCCACACACGUCCCGGUGUCCAAGCUCUCCCAGCAGCUGGUACUCCUCUCCCCCAGGGCUGGUGGGCCUGUCGCUGUCUUACGCCCUGUCCCUGACGGGCCUGCUCUCGGGCCUGGUGAGCAGCUUCACACAGACAGAGGCCAUGCUGGUGAGCGUCGAGCGGCUGGAAGAGUACUCCUGUGACCUGCCCCAGGAACCCCAGGGCCAGCCACUGCAGUUGGGCACCGGCUGGCUGACCCAGGGGGGCGUGGAGUUCCAGGACGUGGUGUUGGCGUACCGGCCAGGGCUGCCAAAUGCCCUGGAUGGAGUGACUUUUUGCGUGCAGCCUGGAGAGAAGUUGGGCAUCGUGGGCCGCACGGGCUCCGGCAAGUCUUCCCUGUUGUUGGUGCUCUUCCG
rnacentral:sRNA from 1 species